AGAGUUUGAUCAUGGCUCAGGAUGAACGCUAGCUACAGGCUUAACACAUGCAAGUCGAGGGGCAGCAUGGUCUUAGCUUGCUAAGGCCGAUGGCGACCGGCGCNCGGGUGAGUAACGCGUAUCCAACCUGCCUUACACUCUUGGACAGCCUUCUGAAAGGGAGAUUAAUACAAGAUGUUAUCAUGAGUAAGCAUUUUCGCAUGAUUAAGGUUUACCGGUGUAAGAUGGGGAUGCGUUCCAUUAGAUAGUAGGCGGGGUAACGGCCACCUAGUCUUCGAUGGAUAGGGGUUCUGAGAGGAAGGUCCCCCACAUUGGAACUGAGACACGGUCCAAACUCCUACGGGAGGCA
rnacentral:rRNA from 1 species